rnacentral:misc_RNA from 1 species
GGCGAUUAACGGCUUCAUCAGGAUCCAUAUUACAUUCUCUUAGGGUAGCAUAGAUCUCCUGGUCGGUACAGUUAUUUACAAUCUCUUUUAAACUUUGGACCAUCUUCCGCCACUCUGCCGGAAUUCCAGACGUUCCAUUGGUGCUUUUGCCUCCUCCUCCUCCUCCUUUGGCACCCAUACUGUUUCACUAUGUUUGGAUACCUCUCUCCCUCGCCGGCCGGAGGUUCAGAUCUGAGAAACCUUUCAAAAGGGCAGGCUUUUAGUCCGUCUCCCGCUAGGGUUCCGCCGUGUCAAGAAGAAG